GCUUACGGCCACACGGCCUGAGUACGCUGAUCUCGUCCGAUCUCGGAAGCUAAGCAGGGUCGGGCCUGGUUAGUACUUGGAUGGGAGACCGCCUGGGAAUACCAGGUGCUGUAAGCU
rnacentral:rRNA from 1 species